AGGGCUUUCCAACAAGCAACUUGGAAAUGAGCGACGGUUGAAGCUCUUCAACAAAUCUCUCCUCAGCCAAAUACAUCUGGUACCUUAAUGGAGGCGACAGCACAGGCUUCUGAUUAGUUCACACAUCACUCACCAAUUAGAAUAGAAGUGCAUUUACAGUCUGCAAACAAGGAUUCAUCAUGGGAAACUGUUUUUAAAGUCAGAAGAUCUUGAUUCAAGUCCAAUUCUGCCCGUUACCAUGUGACCUUGAGUGAAUCUUGUAAUCUCUCUUUUAAAAAUACAGACAGCAACACUUGCCCCCUCCAUUUACGGCAUUACAAGCAUCUGAUGGGAUCACACAUUUGAAAAUAUAUUGUAAAACA
rnacentral:lncRNA from 10 species